rnacentral:rRNA from 1 species
GACGAACGCUGGCGGCGUGCUUAACACAUGCAAGUCGAACGGUAAGGCCUUUCGGGGUACACGAGUGGCGAACGGGUGAGUAACACGUGGGUGAUCUGCCCUGCACUUCGGGAUAAGCCCGGGAAACUGGGUCUAAUACCGGAUAGGACUGCGCGGUGCAUGCUGUGUGGUGGAAAGAUUUAUCGGUGCAGGAUGGGCCCGCGGCCUAUCAGCUUGUUGGUGGGGUAAUGGCCUACCAAGGCGACGACGGGUAGCCGGCCUGAGAGGGCGACCGGCCACACUGGGACUGAGACACGGCCCAGACUCCUACGGGAGGCAGCAGUGGGGAAUAUUGCACAAUGGGCGCAAGCCUGAUGCAGCGACGCCGCGUGAGGGAUGACGGCCUUCGGGUUGUAAACCUCUUUCAGCAGGGACGAAGCGUGAGUGACGGUACCUGCAGAAGAAGCACCGGCCAACUACGUG